AUCUAUAACAUAUUUAAAGCUGUAGACAACUCAACAAUGUAAAACAAAAUGAUCCGGAGGUCAUUUUUGUCUUUCACUUUUCCAGAAGUUUCUUACUUUGAAACGAGCAUUACCUGUUCCAUUUCUUUCUUCAAAUCCCUCUCACUCCCAAGUAAAACCAAAGAAUCGAUUACCGCAAUCUUAAUGGCAGAUCCAAAAACGGUGACGAAACCUCCCGGACAAAGGCUUCGGCCAAGGACCCCAAGAAGAAGGACGAGAAAGAGGAGGAUUUGAUACUUUUGAACUUACAUGUAUCAAACCUUGGAAAGUGCAAACCUCGACGAGCUCUUUGAACAUAUUCGAAGGAACCAAGAUUCGUUUCCAAGAUGUCGACUGCAAGGAAGCCACCACCGACAGCUCCAAUCUCAACGAUUCAAUCGUCGCCGUUGAAAAAGCUAUCGAAGAUGUCUACAUGGGAGAACCCGACAUCUUCUUUGUUGAUUGCGACUACGAUGAUGAUAAAACCAGUGCUGAUUAUUACUUUGAUUCAGACUCUCACUUCGUCUUGAUCAACUAUCCUCAAAUUUAUAGAGAGAAAAAUGGAAGAGAGGACAAGGAAAAUGAAUGAGGGAAAAGAAAAUUCAGAGGAAGAUGAUCUUCUUGAAUGGGUUUUGAAGCAUUCAAAUCUUUCGACAGAGCAAAUCCUUAACUUGAUUCUGAGCUUGCUCUUUGCUGGACAUGAAACUUCAUCAGUAGCCAUAGCUCUAGCCAUCUACUUCUUACUAGGUUGUCCUGUAGCUAUUCAACAGUUGAGAGUAAGCUAAUCUAACAAUGCAAGCUUUCCUAUUCUUUUAUAAUUCAAUUGCUAUUAUAAUUUUAAACAUAGGAAGAACACCUUGAAAUGGCCAGAACCAAGAAUCAAUUCAAUUACCCAAUAUCUAUCAAUCUCUUUACUUGUCGACAGCAGAGAAAUCUAGAUAUUUACUAUGCUCCUUUCGUUUUUCUGGGCUCAUGUGGUUACAGGGUUUCCAGUUGGCUCAAAGCCUCUAAGGUUUGUUUUUCAUGUCUUCUGCCUCUAUUUCUUACUUGUGAUCUUUCUUGGGGGAUUUAAUUGUAUUGCAUGUGUUCAUUUAGUGCAAUCAGGUGUUUAUUUGUUAUGUGAAGGAUGAUUGAGUCUUUGAUAGCUUUUGCCGACUGUAAUUUUUGGUACUUCUUUUGGUCAAUUUUAAUGGGCAUUAUUUUUUGGUGGCAAAGUUGAAUACAAUCUAGACAGUGAUUUGUUGGAUGAAAAGUUCAUGCUGAAAGGAAAAUGGUACCAAAGAAAGAAUAUAGAGGUACAGUUUUUAGAUUAUGAAUAUUAUGUUUAAACAAUAUCUACUUUAUUAUUAUGCAGCUUGAAGCAUAGCGUGGGUCUGCAAACUAGUAACAUUAAAACUCAAUCGUUGAAUUGAACAGAUUUCAUAUAUUUUCAAAGAUUAUG